UUCUCUUCCCAAGAACCUGAGGUUCCAGGGCCCCAUUUCUUGCUGUCUAGAGAUGGAGCACAAAUGUGACACAUGUGCUUCUCCGGAUGAUUAGGAAAACACAAGUGUAAUGCAGACCUGUAAGAUGAAUUCUCUUCUCCACUGUCUACUUCUAUGAUGAAUUAGGGCAGAUACUUGCAAAGUAUUUUCUUGGUGCUGAUCCUGCUGCACUUUCUGUCAGUCUAUGGUGCAGUGCAGAGAGGCCAAAGCAGGGCUGUGAGCUGCUCUUAUCCGGGAUCCAGCCUGCCGCAAUGCUACAAGUCUUUCUUUUGCUGUUCCCAGAUGAUUGAUGUUUGCCUGCUUUGGGGUGCUGCAAGAUGUUAAACUGUCUGAGAUCAUAUAAUAUCUCUGAUACUGAAGGAAAGGCCCUGUUUUCUUGACCCUGCACUGAGUUUCAUCAGGACAUCAGAGGCGCCUUUACUAAAUAUCCUGGAUCAUGUCAUAAGGGACACAUCACAUCAACAAUAACAAGGCGUUCCCUUAUCCUUCCCUCCUGUCUGCGUGUUCACUUGGACCACCUUGCUUGGCUUUUCAACUGGCAUUUUAUGCCCUGAUCAUUCAUCAGUGUAGACUGCUCCAUGUGUUCAUUAUGGUUCUGCAGACAGCUAUACUGUUCCAUGGGACCACUGCACAUCUAUCCAUUGGUAAUCAGUGGAAUGCUGAGGAUUUUCCAUUUUUGAAGAUGUUGGAGGUAGGCUACAGUAUUACAGAUUGGAUUUUGGAGUACUGCAUAGACUUUUUUGCAGAACAAGUUUGGCAGCAUUUGAUUCAAAGAGUUAUUGAUUUGUAUCAAUAGCCAAAGUUGCCUUCCACUAGCUCUCUGCCAUUAGUAAAGGCUGCCCUCCUUGUCCUUUAUGGAUAUAAGACUUGUUUAGAUCUUGAUUCUCUUUUACUAUUUUAUGUCAAAUAGGUCUGCUUCUAGACCUUUUUUACCAUUCAUUAGAACAAACACUGGUAGGAAAAGUACUACGUCUGUGAAUAACACUCUAUUAAGUUUAACUUACAAAGUUGAGUUAGUUAACUCAGAUUCUCACGUUCCUAAGAGCUCUGUCAAUAACCUAGUGGAGAUGUUGGGGCUAAAGGAUGACAAUGAGUUGAAAUUUGAAAAAAUGAGUAAAUUGCUGGUAUUUUCACACAAUCUGGUAUUUUAGCAGAAGUAAUGAUUUGGAUUUGUGUCUCAUAGAUUUUGUAAAAUAUACACCUACAAAGAUUUGUUAAGUAAGCUAAUUUCUGUUUCAAGCCAUGGAGGAAUAGGUUUGCUAUGAUGUCUCCCUCCUUCAUCUUGUCAUGCACUGAAUAAUUUGUGGGAAUUAAGAAAAAGCAUUUAGCCCCAGUGCCUGGCAUACCCUGGGGUGCAGGUGCUGCCUCACGUGCAUUUGGAUUGCUUACAGGCAGAUCUAUCAGUAUGAGCCUGAGGCUCCAACCAACUAUCUGGAAUGUAUGUUGCCAGAUAUGAUGAUUGUACAGUCCUUUGGAUGGUGAUGACUUGCCCUAUCAUACAGGGCAGCGAUGUGAAGGUAUGAGAAAUGGGUGUUGCAUAAACAUUCUGUUCCUCUGACAAUCAAAUCUGUCAGUGCUCUGCUGCCCAUUGUGUUGUCAUUGAAAUGGUUGUAUACAUAAAGUAGUCAAUGCGACCAUUGAAGUUUGCUAUGCAUUGUUAAUGAAAGACUUCUGGAGAUGGAAUGUGUAAGUAUGUAGGGAGGUAAUCUACUGCAUUUUUUGCCUUCCUCAGUGUUUAUUCAAAUCUUGCUGUUAUAUCUAUUGUUAUAUGAUAAAAAAACAAAAGGUACAGUUAUGGUCUUUUGGAUCUGAAAACAGUUUUGAAAGCUUUGAAUUCAGAAUCAGAUCAAAGUUGUGAAUAUAACGAGGCAGUCUUUGCUAGAAUGCUCAUUGGUUGCAACCUUCUAAAUGU
rnacentral:lncRNA from 7 species